UACGUAGGUUCCGAGCGUUAUCCGGAUUUACUGGGCGUAAAGCGCGUUCAGGCGGUUUGGCAAGUCGGGCAUGAAAUCUCUCGGCUCAACCGGGAGAGGUUGUCCGAUACUGCUGGACUUGAGGGCAGUAGAGGGUGGUGGAAUUCCGGGUGUAGUGGUGAAAUGCGUAGAUAUCCGGAGGAACACCAGUGGCGAAAGCGGCCACCUGGACUGCUCCUGACGCUGACACGCGAAAGCUAGGGGAGCGAACGGG
rnacentral:rRNA from 1 species